rnacentral:rRNA from 1 species
GAGUUUGAUCGUGGCUCAGAUUGAACGCUGGCGGCAUGCUUUACACAUGCAAGUCGAGCGGGGUGAGGGGGCAACCUCUCAUUCAGCGGCGGACGGGUGAGUAACACAUCGGAACGUAUCCUGCAGUGGGGGACAACCCAGCGAAAGCUGGGCUAAUACCGCAUAUGCUCGGGAGAGGAAAGCAGGGGACCUGAGAGGGCCUUGUGCUGGAGGAGCGGCCGAUGUCCGAUUAGCUAGUUGGUGGGGUAAAGGCCUACCAAGGCGACGAUCGGUAGCUGGUCUGAGAGGAUGAUCAGCCACACUGGGACUGAGACACGGCCCAGACUCCUACGGGAGGCAGCAGUGGGGAAUUUUGGACAAUGGGGGCAACCCUGAUCCAGCCAUGCCGCAUGCGGGAAGAAGGCCUGG